AACGAACGCUGGCGGCAGGCUUAACACAUGCAAGUCGAGCGAGACCUUCGGGUCUAGCGGCGGACGGGUGAGUAACGCGUGGGAACGUGCCCUUCUCUACGGAAUAGCCCCGGGAAACUGGGAGUAAUACCGUAUACGCCCUUUGGGGGAAAGAUUUAUCGGAGAAGGAUCGGCCCGCGUUGGAUUAGGUAGUUGGUGGGGUAAUGGCCCACCAAGCCGACGAUCCAUAGCUGGUUUGAGAGGAUGAUCAGCCACACUGGGACUGAGACACGGCCCAGACUCCUACGGGAGGCAGCAGUGGGGAAUCUUAGACAAUGGGGGCAACCCUGAUCUAGCCAUGCCGCGUGAGUGAUGAAGGCCUUAGGGUUGUAAAGCUCCUUCAGCUGGGAAGAUAAUGACGGUACCAGCAGAAGAAGCCCCGGCUAACUCCGUG
rnacentral:rRNA from 1 species